rnacentral:rRNA from 1 species
GCGAAGGUUGGGCCGGCAGCGGCGGUAAUAGAGAGGUGCCAAUCGUUGGUCUGAUUCACUGGGCGGAAAGGGUGCGUAGGUGGUGGGGUAAGUCGGAUGUGAAAUCUCGGAGCUCAACUCCGAAAUGGCAUGGGAAACUACCUCGCUCGAGGGUUGGAGGGGGGACUGGAAUACUGGGUGUAGCAGUGAAAUGCGUAGAUAUCAAGUGGAACACCAGUGGCGAAGGCGAGUCCCUGGACAACUCCUGACACUGAGGCACGAAAGCUAGGGGAGCAAACAGGAUUAGAUACCCUGGUAGUC